ensembl:lncRNA
GCAUCUGGUCUCAGCAGACGCAGCGAGAACUUUCCCAGUAGAGCACUUACGUUUUCUCUUUCAUCCAGUGAGCAUUUGGUCUCUCAGCGGACGCAGUGUGAGAAAAUCUCCCGGUCAAGCUCUUAUUUUCCUCUUUCCUGUUUUCUCUUUCAUCCAGUGAGCAUUUGGUCUCUCAGUGGACGUAGUGUGAGAAAAUCUCCCGGUCAAGCUCUCAUUUUCCUCUUUCCUGUUUUCUAUUUUUUUCCAGUGAGCCUUUGGUCUCACAGCGGAGAAAGGAACAAACCAUCUGAUAGGUCGCUCCAAAUUACAACUAUUCCCCGUUGCAGGCCAGCAGGGCCCGUCAGUCCAGGUACAAUGAGCCGCUAUCACGGGCCCCCUGGCCAAACAUUCAGACCCUUUCUCGAGAUGCCAGCCCGCCAAACUCGGCACUCAUUUGGGGGGGGGUCUUUAGUUCGGCGACUAUCCUCUGCUCUUCAGCUUUUUGGGGGGAGCCCUGCCUCCGGACAGCACGCCAAAUAUGCAUUAUAUAAACUUCAGUUAAUUAUAUGUAAGUGUGAACUCGUGAAAUAAGCAUAAAUAUCAGAACUGUAAAACAGAACUAUUCUCUGGCUUUACUCCCACAAAAGCUUGAUAGACUCCAUUUAACCAUCGGAACCCGACGAGUGAAACUUCUAAGAAACCAGAUCGCAUGAAAUACAAGUUAAAGAAAUAUUAGUAGUGUAUGGAACCAGGACAAAGAUAGAAAAAUAAAUCCUGAUACAUUACC